GACGAACGUUGGCGGCGUGCUUAAUACAUGCAAGUCAACUGAAGCAGUGGUAGCAAUAUCGCUGUGGAGGUGGCGCACGGGUGAGUAACACGUAGGUAAUCUGCCUUCAGGUCUGGCAUAACUCCGGGAAACCGGGGCUAAUAGCAGAUGAUGCAGCGGCUCGACAUCGAGACAGUUGUUAAAGCUAUGGCGCCUGAAGAUGAGCCUGCGUCUGAUUAGCUAGUUGGCGGGGUAACGGCCCACCAAGGCAACGAUCAGUAGCUGGUCUGAGAGGAUGAUCAGCCACACUGGAACUGAGACACGGUCCAGACUCCUACGGGAGGCAGCAGUAAGGAAUAAUGUUCAAUGGGAGAAAUCCUGAAGCAGCAACGCCGCGUGAGGGACGAAGGGCUUUUGCUUGUAAACCUCUGUAGUGAGAGAAAAAAAUCCCAAUCUUUGGGACAUGAUGGUAUCUCAAAAGUAAGCCCCGGCUAACUACGUG
rnacentral:rRNA from 1 species